rnacentral:lncRNA from 1 species
CAGCUCAAUGCCAUGUAUUGUUUUGACUGAUGUCACGUCAAUGCUAAUAAGGCUAAAAUAUGGAUAUUUUAAGCCUUUUUGACAUAGAUUGUGUAUAUGUGAAUUCAAUGCAUGUAGGCCCUUCAUACAUAUAUAUAUAGGCUAUGAGCAGCACUUCCUUCAAUUUAUUCAAUCAGCACAGCCAGAAGAGGACUGGCCACCCCUCAUAGCCUGGUUCCUCUCUAGGUUUCUAAUCUCCACCCAGCACAGCCAGAAGAGGACUGGCCACCCCUCAUAGCCUGGUUCCUCUCUAGGUUUCUAAUCUCCACCCAGCACAGCCAGAAGAGGACUGGCCACCCCUCAUAGCCUGGUUCCUCUCUAGGUUUCUAAUCUCCACCCAGCACAGCCAGAAGAGGACUGGCCACCCCUCAUAGCCUGGUUCCUCUCUAGGUUUCUAAUCUCCACCCGGCACAGCCAGAAGAGGACUGGCCACCCCUCAUAGCCUGGUUCCUCUCUAGGUUUCUAAUCUCCACCCAGCACAACCAGAAGAGGACUGGCCACCCCUCAUAGCCUGGUUCCUCUCUAGGUUUCUAAUCUCCACCCGGCACAGCCAGAAGAGGACUGGCCACCCCUCAUAGCCUGGUUCCUCUCUAGGUUUCUUCCUAGGUUUU